rnacentral:rRNA from 1 species
GGAGAAAUUACGGCCGCGUAUACAUGCAAGUCGAACGCUUUGUGGUUCAACUGAUUUGAAGAGCUUGCUCAGAUAUGACGAUGGACAUUGCAAAGAGUGGCGAACGGGUGAGUAACACGUGGGAAACCUACCUCUUAGCAGGGGAUAACAUUUGGAAACAGAUGCUAAUACCGUAUAACAAUGACAACCGCAUGGUUGUUAUUUAAAAGAUGGUUCUGCUAUCACUAAGAGAUGGUCCCGCGGUGCAUUAGCUAGUUGGUAAGGUAAUGGCUUACCAAGGCGAUGAUGCAUAGCCGAGUUGAGAGACUGAUCGGCCACAAUGGGACUGAGACACGGCCCAUACUCCUACGGGAGGCAGCAGUAGGGAAUCUUCCACAAUGGGCGAAAGCCUGAUGGAGCAACGCCGCGUGUGUGAUGAAGGGUUUCGGCUCGUAAAACACUGUUGUAAGAGAAGAAUGACAUUGAGAGUAACUGUUCAAUGUGUGACGGUAUCUUACCAGAAAGGAACGGCUAAAUACGUGCCAGCAGCCGCGGUAAUACGUAUGUUCCAAGCGUUAUCCGGAUUUAUUGGGCGUAAAGCGAGCGCAGACGGUUAUUUAAGUCUGAAGUGAAAGCCCUCAGCUCAACUGAGGAAUUGCUUUGGAAACUGGAUGACUUGAGUGCAGUAGAGGAAAGUGGAACUCCAUGUGUAGCGGUGAAAUGCGUAGAUAUAUGGAAGAACACCAGUGGCGAAGGCGGCUUUCUGGACUGUAACUGACGUUGAGGCUCGAAAGUGUGGGUAGCAAACAGGAUUAGAUACCCUGGUAGUCCACACCGUAAACGAUGAGUGCUAGGUGUUUGAGGGUUUCCGCCCUUAAGUGCCGCAGCUAACGCAUUAAGCACUCCGCCUGGGGAGUACGACCGCAAGGUUGAAACUCAAAGGAAUUGACGGGGACCCGCACAAGCGGUGGAGCAUGUGUUUAUUCGAGCAACGCGAGACCUUACCAGGUCUUGACAUCCCUUGACACUCCAGAGAUGGAGCGUUCCCUUCGGGACAGUUGACAGUGUGCAUGAUGUCGUCAGCUCGUGUCGUGAGAUGUGGGUAGUCCGCACGAGCGCACCCUAUACUAGUGCAGCAUCAGUGGUACUCUGUGAACUGCGUGACUACGAGAGUGGAUGACGUCCAUCAUCAUGCUAGACUGGCUCACACGUGCUACAUGGCUAUACCACGAGGUGGCCCACACCCCGCAGGA